GUCAUCCUGCCACUCCAGCAGAGGACUCUGUGUGUCAGACCAGCAUAAGUUGAAUGGGGAGGAGGCAGGUUGUGUGGGAGGUCCAGCUUUAACUGGAGAAGCAGAGUGCUUCCAGAGAAAGACUACCAGGGAUGUAUUUACCCUGCAUGAGACAGGGAAGGAGGUUUAGCUCAGGAGGGGCCUGAAAAUGCUCAUCGUAAUGACCUGUCUUUUGACAGUUUUUGUGGAGAAGCCAGGGACUGAAGACCCUGAGGACCGAACUACUCCCUCCCACCUGGAAAAGAUGACCUCUCUACCUCAAGGCUGAAGCAGUCUGACAAGGCAAUGUUGGGGCGGCACACGUUGCAAAUACUCAUACUGUAACUGUUCUGAUGAUAAAAAGACCUCAGGCUCCA